CUUUAUUGGAGAGUUUGAUCCUGGCUCAGGACGAACGCUGGCGGCAUGCCUAAUACAUGCAAGUCGAGCGGACUUGAUGAGAAGCUUGCUUCUCAGAUAGUUAGCGGCGGACGGGUGAGUAACACGUAGGCAACCUGCCCUCAAGCUUGGGACAACUACCGGAAACGGUAGCUAAUACCGAAUAGUUGUUUUCUUCACCUGAAGAAAACUGGAAAGACGGAGCAAUCUGUCACUUGGGGAUGGGCCUGCGGCGCAUUAGCUAGUUGGUGGGGUAACGGCUCACCAAGGCGACGAUGCGUAG
rnacentral:rRNA from 1 species